CUCUCCUCCCCCGCGCGUCCUCUCCCCUUCCCUCCCACGCGCCUCCUCUCCUCCCACCCACAUCGCCGCCGCCGCCGCCCACCGGCUCGAACCGCGCCGUCGGCGGCCAGAUCCGCCGCAACAGAGCCCCCCUCCCAACGACGACGAGCAGCAGCGGAGGAAGGACGAGGAGCGCGACGGCGGCAGCGGCGGCGGGGAGCAGCAGCAGCAGGCCAAGGCGGCGCAACAGCAGGCCUUGGGCUUGAGCGACGUCGACGCCGCCAAGAUAAGCAGUAGAAGAGGAGAGUUCAUCCCCUCCUGGCCCGACACCGGCAGCCAUGGGGCUGCGCCUCCUCUCUACCUCUGCAGCAGAGGAGAGGAGCGGGGACGAGCUUGUAGCUCCUGAUGUGCUUCAAUUCGAUUUGGAGUAGAGCAAUUGAUGUACUCCUACAGCUGCUGUAGAGGAUAGGAGAGCACAUCACACAAUUCUCCAUCUUUAAUGAACAACGGCCGGCAUCUCCGCUCCACGGCGUCGCCCACUAGCUAGAUGAGUUGGAGGUGUCGGAUGUGUCCACGGUGUUGGAUGUGCCUCAGGAUCUGAACGAACAACAGGCUAGGCAUACCACUCUCUUGUCCAGCGCCGUUCUUUGUGUGUGUGCCUUCCAGUGUGAUCUACUUCUUGACAUAUCCCUAGGCAUCUUGACAUAUCCCUAGACAAGUUCUAAUGUUCAGCGCAUCCAGUUUGGUUGAUUAUUUUGGGAGGCUUAUUUUGGAAAGGCUUUGAGAGGCUGUCUGAAUCACCACCUUGUGUUAAUAGAAUUAUACAUAGUUUUGUACAGCCAUUUCAUUUUGCAUAGGGCUACAAAGUACAAUCAAACAAUCUGCAGCUUAGCACUACUGUAUUUCCUGGAUUCCCCAAUUUGGGAUUUAAGCAUUGAGGCGUUGAAUAUGUCUAUAUGAACUGUAGUUCUAUAUUUCCUGCUACUCGAGCUGGCUCUCUCUCUCCGACGUCUCGGUUUGCAGGCCGCUGCGUGGUGAGGUACUGACUAAGGAGCGUGAAUCGCCACCACCACGUACCAGAUGAUGCCGUCAAGGUCGACGUCAUAGUGACUGUCGAUGACUUGCAGCUGAUGCAUUGAUCAACACCGGUCUGGCGAAACUGAGCUAUAAAUAUGUGAACAUCGAUGAUUGGUGGGCAGAAUUAAGGAGGGAUUACCAAGUAAGGAGAUACACCUGAGCAAGCAGCUAGACCCAAGGUACUAAUGUAAAUCGCUCAACCAUUUUGAUAAUUAGUCUGUCAAGAGUUCUUUUCUUAGUAUAUUAUUCUUCAAGUUCCACUUACAUUUUACUAAGUCAUGCCCAAAUGCCUUUCCUAUAAAUCAUUCUAAAAGAUCCAUUUGUGACUUACUACCCCCCUCUGCCCAUAUUUUUAUCUAUGGAUGCUGCUCUGCUCUCUCUCUCUCUCUGUUAUGGCCAUGUUUAGUGCUUCCGUUUAGUCCAAAGGGAGUAGCUCAAUUGUGUCCUGCAUAAAUUAGAUCUUUCCGAAAACAUUUUAACCUGGAUCCACCUUGGUUCGGUAUGUGAUUAUAAUCACACCUUAUAAAAAAUAUGAAUGGGCAAGAUGUGGCCAUCUAGAGUAGAAUUUGGUUCAUUCAUUAAUGUAGAAAGACAGGGGUCAAAGUGAUCUUUUUCCAAGGUAAUCACCACUGUUUUGUUUUAGGCUUAUGUGCUUGAUGUUUUUUAGGAUCUCUGUCAAUAAGGGGAUAUAUCAAGGUAGUGUGUUGUGUUCUAAUUAUAAAUGAAGAGAAAGUUAAGAACUUCAUAGUUACAAUGUAAUCAUGGCUAGAGCGUAGAGGUUAGAGAUGUACAAAUGAUUGAUUAUAUAUAUAUAUAUUUGUACUUGUAACAACACACUUAGUAUUCGUGACCCGGGUAAGGAGCAAUUCAUGCCCGUCCAAGCAUUGUCCUUAAGCUACUGCAGAUCUUAGGGAGCGUCAUCAACGGAUUCGUAUUGCCACUUAAGGAAGAGCAUGAAUUGUUCCUUACCUGGGCCUUGAUUCCACUUCACAAGCCAAGUGCAUUGCAAUGUACCAUCAACAGUUGUCUUACUACAUUACCCAGUUUGUCGAAAAAGAUUGCAAGCUUUCAUACACAGUUAUCAAGGGCCUACUGAAAUAUUGGCCCAUUAGAAACAGCACCAAGGAGGUGAUGUGUUUGGGAGAGUUGGAAGAGAUACUAGAAGCUACACAGCCUGCGGAGUUUCAGAAAUGCACGGUUCCUCUUUUCCGCCAGAUUGCAGGUUGUCUGAAUAAUUCUCACUUUCAGGACUGUUUGGGAUAUCAAGCAGAAAAUUGUUCUUGGCAUGGCUGUCAAUCGUGGCUGCUACAUUGGUCAAAGCCAGAGCCUUAAUAUCAGCAUGGGUCAAGUCAACUCCGAGAAGCUAACUUCACUGCACUUCCACGCCUGGUCCAAGGAGCGCUGCCUUUCAAGUAGAAGAAGAGAGUGUUACAAAUAGUUUACACAAGGCUUUUCCCUACAAGAGUCUGGAGGCGGGGGAGCCUCUCAAACAUCACCGGCAUGCGGAUUACUCGCGAAUGAGAAAGCAACUGGAUCUUGGUGCCUUUCUGCUCUGCUAAGGUUUGGAAAGCACAGGCCACCCCCAAAUGCAAGCUCUUCGCCUGGCUUGUCCUGCAUGGAAGAAUCCUCACGGUGGAAAGCCUAGCAAUUCUGAAACUGUACUUGCAAAGGUGGGUUGGAGAGGAAAUUGUCGAUGCUCAAGCCAUGUGAAGAAGUGGAGCAAGAAGAGUGAAUCAGGAAAACUGGGAACACGUCUAUUUUUUAUGGCUUGUCCUUAGGUUGUAUUUGUUGUGGCGAAUUGACCGAGUUUUCUUACCGCUGUCGAUGCUGGCCAAUAAUGAAUCAUUGAGGAAUGUUGAACCAUUAAGAGUUGAAUUUAGGGUCUACUUAUUGUCGUAGUAUUGUAUAGUUUUAGCAUCUCCAUUGCCUGUUGUUCUCUUAUUAGCUUUUAUAAUCUCAUCAUGAUCGUGUUGAAUGUUU